GAGCGCUCGUAGCAAUACGGGAGCGGCAGACGGGAGAGUAACACGUGGGAACGUACCCUUCGGUUCGGAAUAACCCAGGGAAACUUGGGCUAAUACCGGAUACGUCCGUAAGGAGAAAGAUUUAUUGCCGAAGGAUCGGCCCGCGUCCGAUUAGCUAGUUGGUGAGGUAACUGCUCACCAAGGCAACGAUCCAUAGCUGGUCUGAGAGGACGAUCAGCCUCACUGGGACUGAGACACGGCCCAGACUCCUACGGGAGGCAGCAGUGGGGAAUAAUGGACAAUGGGGGCAACCCUGAUCCUGCCAAGCCGCGUGAAUGAUGAAGGCCUUCGGGUUGUAAAGUUCUUUUGGUAGGGACGAUGAUGACGGUACCUACAGAAUAAGCUCCGGCUAACUUCGUG
rnacentral:rRNA from 1 species